CUGCGAAUGGCUCAUUAAAUCAGUUAUCGUUUAUUUGAUAGUACCUUACUACUUGGAUAACCGUGGUAAUUCUAGAGCUAAUACAUGCUGAAAACCCCGACUUCGGAAGGGAUGUAUUUAUUAGAUUAAAAGCCAAUGCCCUCCGGGGCUCACUGGUGAUUCAUGAUAACUUCUCGAAUCGCACGGCCUUGCGCCGGCGAUGGUUCAUUCAAAUUUCUGCCCUAUCAACUUUCGACGGCUGGGUCUUGGCCAGCCGUGGUGACAACGGGUAACGGAGGGUUAGGGCUCGACCCCGGAGAAGGAGCCUGAGAAACGGCUACUACAUCCAAGGAAGGCAGCAGGCGCGCAAAUUACCCAAUCCCGACGCGGGGAGGUAGUGACAAUAAAUACUGAUACAGGGCUCUUUUGGGUCUUGUAAUUGGAAUGAGUACAAUUUAAUUCCCUUAACGAGGAACAAUUGGAGGGCAAGUCUGGUGCCAGCAGCCGCGGUAAUUCCAGCUCCAAUAGCGUAUAUUAAAGUUGUUGCAGUUAAAAAGCUCGUAGUUGAACCUUGGGCCUGGCUGGCCGGUCCGCCUCACCGCGUGCACUGGACCGGCCGGGCCUUUCCCUCUGGGGAGCCUCAUGCCCUUCGCUGGGCGUGACGGGGAACCAGGACGUUUACUUUGAAAAAAUUAGAGUGUUCAAAGCAGGCUUAUGCUCGGAUACAUUAGCAUGGAAUAAUGAAAUAGGACGUGCGGUUCUAUUUUGUUGGUUUCUAGGACCGCCGUAAUGAUUAAUAGGGACAGUCGGGGGCAUCAGUAUUCAGUUGUCAGAGGUGAAAUUCUUGGAUUUACUGAAGACUAACUACUGCGAAAGCAUUUGCCAAGGAUGUUUUCAUUAAUCAGGAACGAAAGUUAGGGGAUCGAAGACGAUCAGAUACCGUCGUAGUCUUAACCAUAAACUAUGCCGACUAGGGAUCGGACGGUGUUAUUCUUUGACCCGUUCGGCACCUUGCACGAAAGUACAAGUUUCUGGGU
rnacentral:sRNA from 1 species